GCCCAGGUAGCUCAGCAGGUAGAGCAGAGGACUGAAAAUCCUUGUGUCGGUGGUUCGAUUCCGCCCCUGGGCA
rnacentral:tRNA from 1 species